AGUGAACGCUGGCGGUAGGCCUAACACAUGCAAGUCGAACGGCAGCACAGUAAGAGCUUGCUCUUACGGGUGGCGAGUGGCGGACGGGUGAGGAAUACAUCGGAAUCUACUUUUUCGUGGGGGAUAACGUAGGGAAACUUACGCUAAUACCGCAUACGACCUACGGGUGAAAGCAGGGGAUCUUCGGACCUUGCGCGAUUGAAUGAGCCGAUGUCGGAUUAGCUAGUUGGCGGGGUAAAGGCCCACCAAGGCGACGAUCCGUAGCUGGUCUGGGAGGAUGAUCGCCCACACUGGAACUGAGACACGGUCCAGACUCCUACGGGAGGCAGCAGUGGGGAAUAUUGGACAAUGGGCGCAAGCCUGAUCCAGCCAUCCCGCGUGGGUGAAGAAGGCCUUCGGGUUGUAAAGCCCUUUUGCUGGGAAAGAAAAGCAGCAGGUUAAUACCCCGCUGUUCUGACGGUACCCAAAGAAUAAGCACCGGCUAACUUCGUG
rnacentral:rRNA from 1 species